UACGGAGGUGGCAAGCGUUGCUCGGAAUCACUGGGCGUAAAGGGCGCGUAGGCGGGGAGGUAAGUCGGGUGUGAAAUCCCUCGGCCCAACCGAGGAACUGCGCCCGAGACCGCUUCUCUUGAGUCCCGGAGAGGAAGAUGGAAUUCCCGGUGUAGCGGUGAAAUGUGUAGAGAUCGGGAGGAACACCGGUGGCGAAGGCGGUCUUCUGGACGGUGACUGACGCUGAGGCGCGAAAGCGUGGGGAGCAAACGGG
rnacentral:rRNA from 1 species